rnacentral:rRNA from 1 species
AUUGAACGCUGGCGGCAGGCCUAACACAUGCAAGUCGAACGAGUGGCGGACGGGUGAGUAAUGUCUGGGAAACUGCCUGAUAGAGGGGGAUAACUACUGGAAACGGUAGCUAAUACCGCAUACUAUCGGAUGUACCCAGAUGGGAUUAGCUAGUAGGUGGGGUAAAGGCUCACCUAGGCGACGAUCCCUAGCUGGUCUGAGAGGAUGACCAGCCACACUGGGACUGAGACACGGCCCAGACUCCUACGAGAGGCAGCAGUGGGGAAUAUUGCACAAUGGGCGCAAGCCUGAUGCAGCCAUGCCGCGUGUAUGAAGAAGGCCUUAGGGUUGUAAAGUACUUUCAGCGGGGAGGCGUUACCCGCAGAAGAAGCACCGGCUAACUCCGUGCCAGCCGCCGCGGUAAUUC